GAUUAACUCUAGCCUCAAGAUGAAGGUGACAAGAUUGACUACGAUGAAACCAUGGGUGCUAAUUUUCCUUGCGAUACGAAAUUUCCUAGAUGGAGCUGAAGAAUACUUCAUAACGCCAACCGCCUGGUACUAUAUAAAAUCUCUAGGCGGCUCCCAACAAUUUCUAGGAAUGGUUCUAUCCAUAUAUGGCGGUGCGGCUGUCGUCGCUGGUCCGAUUCUGGGAAAGUUUGCUGACCACUUUGGGUACAUAAAACUCAUCGUGAUUUUUUGCUACGCAUUAAAGGUCGCUGGGAACUUAGUUUACUCCAUUCCCGUCUCGUUAUACUGUCCUCUGAUUGGUCGAGCCCUGAGUGGGUUCUCCAUAGGGUCAACCGGUAUUCUUUACGGUCAGCUGGUGUUGUACACGUCGGACAGAUCACGUCCAAAAGCGUUUAUUUUUAUCAAUGGGAUGUAUUGCUUGGGCACCGUAUGCGGGCCGGCUCUGAGCAGUUUUUUAGUUUUUGAUGCCAAUAUAUUUGGCUGGAAGAUCGAUCCUGGUAAUUCGUCCGGUGUAAUCCUGGCAUUGGUUUGGUCGGUUUCUCUUAUCGUUUCGCUUUGGUUGCCCAACGAAUUUGGGACGAACAUUGAAUUGGAUAAAACUAUCAUUGCAUUGGAGGAUGCCUCGAGUAGUAGCUCGGAUGACAGCGAUUCGUAUUUCGUUCCGUCAAAACCGCCUCCAAAGCAUACGAUUUUCUGCGUGUUUUUUGUGAUAUUUCUAGGCCAAUUUUUCCCAACUAUUGUGACAUUCUAUACUCCACUUAUAGCGCAAGAACGCUUCCAUUUACAAUUCCUCGAUGUAAAACUCCUCUUUCUGGCAAGCUCUAUCCUAUCCCUCGUGCUGUUUCUCACUCUGUACCUUUCUACAGGCUGUUUCGACGAACUAAAGCAAGCCUGUUUAGCGUUCUUUAUGCAAAUCAUCGCGAUUGGUCUACUCCUCUACUUCGCAUUGUAUUGGAACGACGUAUAUUGGUACGAUAGCUACCUGCUAAUCCCGUACAUCGCUUUUGGGCUGCAGAAUUUUAUAUUCGCAAUAGGCUGUUCGUUACUGGCCCGAAUCACGGACCCGAGCAUGGCUGGCUUUUACCAAGGCUCAUCUUUUUCGGUAGAUCAUUUAGGAUUUGUGUUUGGACGAAUUGUGUCCGGGUUUAUUUUUACGCGAAUUUCACUGUUAUUGUACUGUACAGGUCUUAGUCUCUUGUGGUUCUUAGGAACUGUUUGGUUUUCACUGGAAUACAACCGAAUAUUGAACUAGUCAUCUCGAGUCCUCUAGUCUGACUUGUGAUGCGUGUAUUCCGGCGUCCAUAUUCGCCUUCAGGCCAGGACGCAACGUUCUUGUUGGAAAGUAAUUGGUCAAAAAAAGAAGGGAAAAUGAAACUGAACCAAACAUUAUCACACUACAUCGCUCCAGUCAAGGGUUCAAUCUUAUUGUGGCUGUUUUCGAUGUAUAUUUUAUUGUGGUCUUCGUUGUAUCGUAUUUGGCAAGAAAUUUUGGCAAUUUUCUAUAUUUUGGUAGUUAAUUAUUUGGAUAUUUUGGAGUCUGUAUAUAAAUGCUGACUUCUAUAUGGCCCUAGCUGCACGAACCUCAGGUCCUAAAUGUAAAUAGGUUUUUAUUAUUAUUAUUUACGCGCAUAUAUACCUCAAUCUGUUGUUGAUAAGGUACGUAUUUCGUGUGCAAGAUUAAUUUUUUUCGUACCCCCAACAAAAUCCCCUCUAAUACUUUUUUGUUUGUGGAAACACCACGUAAAUUUAAUACUGCAAAGUGUUCCCACAAACAAAAAGUAUUAUAUGUUUUAUCGUCAUGCAAUCCUAAAAGAACUUAAAAUCUCCUCUGCCCUAGGGUUGUAGAUACUUUGGGUAGCUAAUGUGACAAAAAACCCGCAAAAUCUUUUCAUACACUCAAAAAACACUCCAGGUU
rnacentral:lncRNA from 1 species